rnacentral:rRNA from 1 species
UUGCUACGGAAUAGCCCAGAGAAAUUUGGAUUAACACCGUAUAGUAUCGUAUUACUGCAUGGUAUUUACGAUUAAAGGUUACGGCAAAAGAUGACUAUGCGUCCUAUUAGCUAGUUGGUAUGGUAACGGCAUACCAAGGCAACGAUAGGUAGGGGCCCUGAGAGGGGGAUCCCCCACACUGGUACUGAGACACGGACCAGACUCCUACGGGAGGCAGCAGUGAGGAAUAUUGGACAAUGGAGGCAACUCUGAUCCAGCCAUGCCGCGUGCAGGAUGACUGCCCUAUGGGUUGUAAACUGCUUUUAUACAGGAAGAAACCGCGCUACGUGUAGCGCUCUGACGGUACUGUAAGAAUAAGGAUCGGCUAACUCCGUGCCAGCAGCCGCGGUAAUACGGAGGAUCCAAGCGUUAUCCGGAAUCAUUGGGUUUAAAGGGUCCGUAGGUGGAUAAUUAAGUCAGGGGUGAAAGUUUGCAGCUCAACUGUAAAAUUGCCCUUGAUACUGGUUAUCUUGAAUCAUUAUGAAGUGGUUAGAAUAUGUAGUGUAGCGGUGAAAUGCAUAGAUAUUACAUAGAAUACCAAUU